UACGGGGGGAGCAAGCGUUGUUCGGAUUUACUGGGCGUAAAGGGCGCGUAGGCGGCCACCCCAAGUCGACUGUGAAAUCUCCGGGCUUAACCCGGAAAGGUCAGCCGAUACUGCGGGGCUAGGGUGCAGAAGGGGCAACUGGAAUUCUCGGUGUAGCGGUGAAAUGCGUAGAUAUCGAGAGGAACACCUGCGGCGAAGGCGGGUUGCUGGGCUGACACUGACGCUGAUGCGCGAAAGCUAGGGGAGCGAACGGG
rnacentral:rRNA from 1 species